AGUGAACGCUGGCGGUAGGCCUAACACAUGCAAGUCGAACGGCAGCACAGUAAGAGCUUGCUCUUACGGGUGGCGAGUGGCGGACGGGUGAGGAAUACAUCGGAAUCUACUUUUUCGUGGGGGAUAACGUAGGGAAACUUACGCUAAUACCGCAUACGACCUACGGGUGAAAGCAGGGGAUCUUCGGACCUUGCGCGAUUGAAUGAGCCGAUGUCGGAUUAGCUAGUUGGCGGGGUAAAGGCCCACCAAGGCGACGAUCCGUAGCUGGUCUGAGAGGAUGAUCAGCCACACUGGAACUGAGACACGGUCCAGACUCCUACGGGAGGCAGCAGUGGGGAAUAUUGGACAAUGGGCGCAAGCCUGAUCCAGCCAUCCGCGUGGGUGAAGAAGGCCUUCGGGUUGUAAAGCCCUUUUGUUGGGAAAGAAAAGCAGCAGGUUAAUACCCCGCUGUUCUGACGGUACCCAAAGAAUAAGCACCGGCUAACUUCGUG
rnacentral:rRNA from 1 species